UGUCCUAGUCAGCUGCUCCUACCCAGCUUUCUAUGGUCUAUGUUAGCAGUAUAGUAGUGACCAGGAUGUGAUUUUGCUAUGAUCAAGCUGGUUGUGUUAGGUAAAUGUACUGAAAGUGUAAAGUGGAAAAUUAAUUCAAGCUUAAUGAAUAUUAUAUAUAUUGUAAAUUUAGAAGUUUUUCAAAUAUUUUGGAAGAGAAAAGAGUUUUGGAUUACCUCAAUUAUUUGUUGAAGUUUUUUUUUU
rnacentral:lncRNA from 1 species